rnacentral:misc_RNA from 1 species
UCUCACUUCACAUUUACACCUUUAGAACCUUCAGUCUGAUCUUGCAGUUUUCUAAGAAUGAGAUCGUCAUUGGGCAAUAAAUGCAUUACCAAUUUGGCGGUCGUGGCAUCUGCAGUGAAUCCCUUACCAACCAUUUCUUCAAUAAGUUGUGAUGCUUUUGGUACAUCUCCAUGUCUGAGAAAUCCUUGAAUAAUUACAUUAUAACAGCAACCAUUCGGUAAACAUCCACACUCUUCCAUUCCUCUAAAGACUUUGUAUGCUUCAUCUAGUAAACCUUCAUUGCAAAGUCCUUUUAUUAUUAUACUAUAUGUAUAAACAUCAGGUUGUAAACCUUUUUCAAAAAGCCUA